rnacentral:rRNA from 1 species
AUGGCGACAACGCCACCCAACCACCGGCCGCCGCUUCUGCCGUUAUCCUCCUCCCUGCUGCUGCUCCUCCUCCUCCUGGUCCAUCCUUUCCUCUCCGCCGGGACGCCGUCCAUCACCACCAAAGCCGUGCCGCGGCUGCCGGGUUUCGCCGGACCCCUGCCCUUCUCCCUCGAAACAGGGUACGUGGCGCUGGACGACGGCGUCCGCCUCUUCUACUACUUCAUCCAGUCGGAGCGCGACCCGGCGGAGGACCCCGUCCUGCUCUGGCUCACCGGCGGGCCCGGCUGCUCCGCCCUCUCCGGCCUCGUCUACGAGAUCGGCCCUUUCUACUUCGACUUCCAUGGCUACACGGGAGGCCUGCCCACUCUGCUCUACAAGCCAGCGUCUUGGACCAAGGUUAGCAAUGUCAUCUUUGUGGACGCUCCGGCAGGGACAGGCUUCUCAUAUGCGACCGGAGACAAGAGAACCAUACCCAGUGACACAAUUGCUAUUCAACAGCUGCACGUCUUCCUCGAAACGUGGUUUGAUGAGCACCCACAGUUCUUGUCGAAUCCGCUCUACAUUUCGGGUGAUUCAUACAGCGGUAUAAUCAUACCUUCUCUUGCUAUGAAAAUUGCUAAAGGGAUAGAAGUUGGUGAUGAGCGACUCACUAAUCUCAAGGGUGUCAUUGCUGGAAAUCCAUUGACUGAUACAACGACGUACUUCAAUGCUCAAAUUGCAUUUCUUCAUCGGAUGGCAAUUAUACCAGAUGAAAUCUACGAGGCUGCUCGUGAAGGUUGUGGAGGAGAAUAUCGAUGGCCAUCGAACUCCCAUUGUGCCAAAUCCCUCCAAGACAUCAAAGAGUGCAUGAGUGGCUUAAACGAUGUACACAUCUUGGAGAAAAUUUGUCCAGAAUAUCCAAGCCUCACCCUUCACAAGCAGCCGGCGUUGCAGGAUCAUGGAAGGAGAAGGCUAACCGAGUCCGCAGUUUCGUCUGUGUGCAGGAAUGCCACAUACUUCCUGUCGGAGUUAUGGACAAAUGACGAAGCUGUAAGGGAGAGUUUGGGUAUUCACAAGGAAACCGUUCCAUCAUGGCUACGAUGUGAUUUCAAUCUACCUUACACAUAUGAAAUCAACAGCACGGUUGAUGAUCAUUUAGCCUUGAUUACUAAAGGAUACCGGGCUAUGAUAUACAGUGGAGAUCAUGACAGUAAAAUAUCUUAUGUCGACACCCAAGCAUGGAUCAGACGACUUAACCUGCCCAUCACACACCGUUGGCGACCAUGGCAUCUGGACGACCAAAUUGUGGGGUACACAAGAACUUACUCCAACAAUCUGACAUACGCAACUGUAAAGGGUGCUGGCCACACAGCCCCGGAGUACAUGCCAAGGGAGUGCCUGGCUAUGAUCGAUAGAUGGCUUUCCGGUGAGCCUCUUUGA